rnacentral:rRNA from 1 species
CCUACGGGAGGCAGCAGUAGGGAAUAUUGCUCAAUGGGGGAAACCCUGAAGCAGCAACGCCGCGUGGAGGAUGAAGGUUUUCGGAUUGUAAACUCCUUUUGUUAGAGAAGAUAAUGACGGUAUCUAACGAAUAAGCACUGGCUAACUCCGUGCCAGCAGCCGCGGUAAUACGGCGGGUGCAAGCGUUAAUCGGAAUCACUGGGCGUAAAGAGCGCGUAGGCGGGAUAGCAAGUCAGAUGUGAAAUCCUAGGGCUUAACCAUAGAACUGCAUUUGAGACUGUUAUUCUAGAGUAUGGGAGAGGUAGGUGGAAUUCUUGGUGUAGGGGUAAAAUCCGUAGAGAUCAAGAGGAAUACUCGUUGCGAAGGCGACCUGCUAGAACAUAACUGACGCUGAUGCGCGAAAGCGUGGGGAGCAAACAGGAUUAGAUACCCCUGUAGUC